rnacentral:lncRNA from 1 species
UUGUCGCGUCGCGUGUGAAGCAAUACUUGACAGAAACCUUAAGUGGGAUGACAUAAUUAUAAAGAAAAUCAAUAAGAGGAUGAACUCUUUUAAUGUUUAUAAAACAAUAGUAUGGAAGAAUUUUGAUGCAUCGUGGAGCAAUGGCAACAUAUUUGGGAGUUGUGAGUGACAACGAGCAGAUUACAUAACAAUGGGAGGAUAACAAGGGCCUUAACUGAAAAAACUGGUGAAUGUUCCCAAAUAAACCUCACAGAUGUAGAAGAAAGACAAAAUAAAUUUGUUUAUUUAUUUUAUUUCUGUUCCCUACUAAACUAGUAAUAAAACAUACUUGUUACAAAUA